rnacentral:piRNA from 3 species
UUUUGGCUAAGAUCAAGUGUAGUAUCUGUU